rnacentral:lncRNA from 1 species
GGGCCCCACAUGUUGCCUGACCAUUCCUGAGCCCAGGUGGGAGCGGUGGCUGAGGUGACGGUCUCAAAGUGGAAGAGCUUACUGUCACAGCAACUCCUUUGCAAGAUGCCCCGGCCAGGAAUAGUUGCUGAACACCCCAGGAUGCUGAGGUCCCUCCUUGAGUCUCAUGUUCAAGCAGUCUUCACAUGGCACAAGAGUGCCUGCCAUCCCUCAGUGUUUCUACAGCAGCAAUCCCGAGAUGCUGGAGCUAGAGGGGACCUGACCUGAGAGAAGAUACCUUCAGUGGCUGCCAGGCUGUUCCUUGGAACCUGUGCAGGGAUGAGGCCUGCCUGUGUUAAUACACCUAGUGAGGAGUGGAGCUGAAUUUGAAUGCAAGCCUUGGCACCUUAAUUGAGCAAGUUUGAAACCUCGCUUGUUGCCCUUCUGGAAGGAGUCAGGAAUUUCCAGUUCUGGGCCUGGGGCUGUGGGUCUGACAGACAGACCUCUGGCCCUAGGUUUGGGUGCC